AGGGACUUGCACUGAAACACUUGUCCCAACAAUAAAGCCAAAGUGCACUGUACCAAAGUAAAAAGGAUGAAAGCAAGCACAAGAGGGGUCAGUUGCAGUUGAUAAGGUUCCAACUUCCACUAGUGGGACUGGGAAGAUCCUAAAAAAUUGAUGGUGAGUGAGAUUCAACUUGGAGCUGCCUUCAAGAGAGAUAGAAAGAGAAAAGCUUCUUCUCAUCAUAUUGGUGUCAACUAAAAAGAUUUUUCAGUUCUUUUUUCUUUUCUCACCAAACAACUAAAAGCUAAGUUGAAUCGGCAUAAGAUACGGUUUCAGUGCUUUACAUGUGGAACAAUUUUUUGUAAGUUUUUUUGAUACAGUUGUGUUUAAAAAAAGGAUUCUGUAUUGUUCAAAAGUUACUAUACAACUACUCUUGCUGUCCAUGA